GAUGAACGCUGGCGGCGUGCCUAAUACAUGCAAGUCGAGCGAACAGACGAGGAGCUUGCUCCUCUGAUGUUAGCGGCGGACGGGUGAGUAACACGUGGAUAACCUACCUAUAAGACUGGGAUAACUUCGGGAAACCGGAGCUAAUACCGGAUAACAUGUUGAACCGCAUGGUUCAACAGUGAAAGACGGUCUUGCUGUCACUUAUAGAUGGAUCCGCGCCGCAUUAGCUAGAUGGUAAGGUAACGGCUUACCAAGGCAACGAUGCGUAGCCGACCUGAGAGGGUGAUCGGCCACACUGGAACUGAGACACGGUCCAGACUCCUACGGGAGGCAGCAGUAGGGAAUCUUCCGCAAUGGGCGAAAGCCUGACGGAGCAACGCCGCGUGAGUGAAGAAGGUCUUCGGAUCGUAAAACUCUGUUAUUAGGGAAGAACAAAUGUGUAAGUAACUAUGCACGUCUUGACGGUACCUAAUCAGAAAGCCACGGCUAACUACGUG
rnacentral:rRNA from 1 species